rnacentral:rRNA from 1 species
CUACGUGCCAGCAGCCGCGGUAAUACGGAGGGUGCGAGCGUUAAUCGGAAUAACUGGGCGUAAAGGGCACGCAGGCGGUGACUUAAGUGAGGUGUGAAAGCCCCGGGCUUAACCUGGGAAUUGCAUUUCAUACUGGGUCGCUAGAGUACUUUAGGGAGGGGUAGAAUUCCACGUGUAGCGGUGAAAUGCGUAGAGAUGUGGAGGAAUACCGAAGGCGAAGGCAGCCCCUUGGGAAUGUACUGACGCUCAUGUGCGAAAGCGUGGGGAGCAAACAGGAUUAGAUACCCUGGUAGUCCACGCUGUAAACGAUGUCGAUUUGGGGGUUGAGCUUUAAGCUUGGUGCCCGUAGCUAACGUGAUAAAUCGACCGCCUGGGGAGUACGGCCGCAAGGUUAAAACUCAAAUGAAUUGACGGGGGCCCGCACAAGCGGUGGAGCAUGUGGUUUAAUUCGAUGCAACGCGAAGAACCUUACCUACUCUUGACAUCCAGAGAACAUUC